GGAGUCUGGGCCGUAUCUCAGUCCCAAUGUGGCCGUAGAGCCUCUCAGCUCGGCUACUGAUCGUCGCCUUGGUAGGCCGUUGCCCCACCAACUAGCUAAUCAGCCGCAAGCCCAUCUAUUAGCGGAUUGCUCCUUUUCUGACUGUAUCAUGCGAUACUAUCAGCUUAUGCGGUAUUAGCAAUGAUUUCUCAUUGUUAUUCCCCUCUAAUAGGCAGGUUGCUUACGUGUUACUCACCAGUCCGCCACUAACCGCUCUCAAUCUAAAAGAAAGAGUUAAGUCCGUUCGACUUGCAUGUCUUAUAUGCGCCGCCAGCGUUUAUC
rnacentral:rRNA from 1 species